GUGUUGUAUCAUAAAUAUAUAUUUCUCAAAUUAUUUGAAAACUGUGGUUUUUCGUAAUUGUUUGUCACAAAAGUCAAAUAAUGGAAACAAGUUAGGAAUAAUGGACAAAUCAUGCGGCGAGUUCUAGGAGACGCGGGCGGAGGACGGGAAACUAAAGUCUAAUUUGGAGUGGCCUUAUAGCAGUGUUUAAUCAAAGCAGUUUUGAAACAAAUUUAUUCUCGUAUAAAGAUCUGGUACAGUUAUCGUUGCACUGAAUUGAACACGAGUUUGCACCGUUGUGCUAGACAGUAAACAAGCCAACAAGGUCCGUGACGGUACACGUUGGCUUGCUUUUUUCUUCUAUUGCAUAGAGCUUGUUGGCGAGCCAAGCGAUUGGCGAUAACACGUUGGCUAUCUCCUCGUCUUUCUUGUUUAAAAAAAGAGCUCUGACUCAACUGAUUCUUUAGUCUCGCAAGUGAUUUUCUUCGUACAAACACCGGUACAAACACCCGCUUCUGUUUAAUAGUUGUUUACGCUUUAUUGAUCUGAUGCAAUUUUUCGCCCUUUGUUUUGAGUGUAG